GGGCACAUGGUGUAGUUGGUUAUCACAUCCGCUUAGCAUCAUGGAUGCACUUGCGGGGGGUGCUGGGUUCAAUUCCCAGUGUGUCCA